CCUACGGGCGGCAGCAGUGAGGAAUAUUGGUCAAUGGCCGAGAGGCUGAACCAGCCAAGUCGCGUGAGGGAAGACGGCCCUACGGGUUGUAAACCUCUUUUGUCGGGGAGCAAAGCGCAGCACGUUCGGUCCAUUGAGAGUACCCGAAGAAAAAGCAUCGGCUAAUUCCGUGCCAGCAGCCGCGGUAAUACGGAGGAUGCGAGCGUUAUCCGGAUUUAUUGGGUUUAAAGGGUGCGCAGGCGGAGGUGCAAGUCAGCGGUCAAAUUGCGGGGCUCAACCCCGUACAGCCGUUGAAACUGCAUCCCUUGAGUGCGCGAGAGGUAUGCGGAAUGCGUGGUGUAGCGGUGAAAUGCAUAGAUAUCACGCAGAACUCCGAUUGCGAAGGCAGCAUACCGGCGCGCAACUGACGCUCAUGCACGAAAGCGUGGGUAUCGAACAGGAUUAGAUACCCUUGUAGUC
rnacentral:rRNA from 1 species